GGUUUUUUGGUGAUUUCACUGUAAGUAUUUGUCUGGGGUUUUGGUAAUUGGUAAAUAAAAUCUGUUCUUUUAGGUAUGGGUUGCUCUGGUCUAAGUCGGAUAUUGGAAGGUUUGAGUUUUUUGGCUUGGUGAGUAGUUACUUCUAUCCCUUUUCCUUUAUCUUUUUGGUCAUAUUUUUCUUGGCUAAUUGUUAUCUCUUUAAAUUCUUGCAGGUCUAUUUCUUGCUCUUUUUUGCCAUCUUCCAUAUGGCUAAUUCUGCUUUCCAGUUUUUCAAUAUUUUUCUCCAUUCCUUGUAAUUUUUAUAAUAUGUCUUGUAAUAGAUUUUGUACUAUUUCCCCUUGUUCAGGUUGUACCUGUCAAUCAUAAUAAAAUUCUUCUUUAUAA
rnacentral:lncRNA from 1 species